rnacentral:lncRNA from 1 species
AUUUCCUGAACUUGACCACGUACAGCUAGCACCUUACUAAAGUUUGCCACCAUCCCUUUCGAGGCCUGACAAGUUUUCCGACCAAACGCUAUCAGGUAAGUUCAUUUGGAAGGAAAAAAGCAAAUGCCAAGAACCUUGGAAUAAAAACGUAAGUCUUGUGGCCAUUAUUAAAAAUCAGUGCCUGAAAAGUACCUAUUAAAUGUGACGACUGGAACAACCAGGCUCAUGAAUAAUGAUCUGGGGGCCAUUUUCACAGCAGAGUUCUAAUGUUACAAUUUCAUAAUUCAGCUUCUGCUAACUACUUUGUAUUUUUUUAUUUUCUAUGCUUAAACUUAGUAGGCUUAACAAUUUCUAUGCUCCUUCUACCCUGCAAGUGUUUAUCCAUUAUACAUAAAUGACGAAUCAAUUCCUGAAUUUUGUUUAGUGCUUUCUAUUCUUUGGAUAAUGAAGGUCUUAUUAUAGGGUGGAGAGAGAACAUUUGGUUUCUUUUGUGUACUUCGCAAGCACACGUUAAAGCAAUGGCUUCAGUUUCAGGAACUGAUGGAUUUUUUGGGAAACAUCUGAAUGUCAGACUUCCAAAUUCUGAGAAAAUAUGUGAAUAACCAAAUAAAACAGCAUCGUAGUGUGAUAACCGAACCUUUCAGACUUAAGGUUCUGGAUUUUAGAGGCAGUGACAGAUACAAAAAUGGCAAGAAAUACCAGAAAAUGAUAAAGAAUUUGAUAAGGCCAUCUUUCAAAAAUAGGAAUAAGAUACUUACCGGAUGUUAGUGAAAAUAAAAUCUGUAAUAUGUGUAUUUCUCUCUUGCAAAUUAGGAUUAUUUUCACCAGGCUGAGAGCUCAUGGGUGAAGGUAUAGAGGCUUUCGGGGAUCAAUGCAAGUGAACAAGACAGGUUGGGGUGACACCCCAUCUGGGCUCUCUGUAAAACAAGAAGGUUCUACCUGACACCGUUUCCUAGUCUAUGGGAGCAGUGGCUUUGAGCUUCUUAAUGCUUUGAGAACCUUCCGAAGGCUAUGGAUCCUCUCCUCAGAAAAAUUCAUAAUUUGCACAUAAUUCCACAGAUUCCAGAUGCCCUGAAGAUGGCUAAUGGGUGAGGGUGCCUGGAACCCAAGUGAGUCAUAGACUUCACACAAUCCAGCAUAGAAUAAGUUACAUAUGUUGGUGAUGAUGAUAAUAAAUAGCUUUGGGGGGCGCCUGGGUGGCUCAGUCGGUUGGGCGUCCGACUUCAGCUCAGGUCAUGAUCUCGCUGUCCGUGAGUUUGAGCCCCGCUUCGGGCUCUGUGCUGACAGCUCAGAGCCUGGAGCCUGUUUCAGAUUCUGUGUCUCCCUCUCUCUCUGACCUUCCCCCAUUCAUGCUCUGUCUCUCUCUGUCUCAAAAAUGAAUAAACAGGGGCGCCUGGGUGGUGCAGUCGGUUAAGCGUCCGACUUCAGCCAGGUCACGAUCUCGCGGUCCGUGAGUUCGAGCCCCGCGUCAGGCUCUGGGCUGAUGGCUCGGAGCCUGGAGCCUGUUUCCGAUUCUGUGUCUCCCUCUCUCUCUGCCCCUCCCCCGUUCAUGCUAUGUCUGUCUCUGUCCCAAAAAUAAAUUAAAAAAAAAACAACAACAACAACAAAAAAAUGAAUAAACAUUAAAAUAAAUAAAUAAAUGAAUAAAUAAAUAAAUAAAUAGCUUUGGUUCACGAGGUGAAGAAUGAGGAAAAAACCCACUUAUUUUAUAAAUGGAGUUUCAUUUAGGAUAGUGACUAGUGACAAUUCCUCCCAGAUUCUGGCAACAGGCUGUCAGCCUAUACUGUUGAUACGUUAUUUUGAAUGCUCAUUCUUUUCUGUUUUUAAUCAAUAAUUUUUGGCAACUUGGGAAAGGAUCCAUGUAAGAACUACUGGCGAUUUAUUAAUGACCUUGUACCAAGCACUCUGAUAAGCAACUAGUCUGCAUUAGCUCAUCAUGUAAUACAAACAAAUCUUAGCAAACAAAUCCUUCCUACUAAUGAAGAACUUCAGAAUUCUAGUAACUCCCAAUGGUCUCACAGUCUAUUGUGGGACAGGAACAGCUUUGUUUCAUGAAGGGAAGAAUGUGUAGAACACAAAUCAUUGUUUUAAUAAAGCCAUCUUCGUUGCCCCAGGAAUUACUGAAAAUUUCUUCCAGAUUCUAACAACAGUCUGUUAAUGCUGCUUUUCACUGUUUGUUGUUUCGGACUGUCAUUAUCCUCUGGCUCUGUCAGUAUUUUAAUGUGAACUCUGGACACGGUAAAGUCAGAGCUGCUAGUCAGAGGCCAUCUGAGCCCUCGUAUACACCAUUCCGACCAGAAUUGUCAUUUCCAUGGCAAAACUCCAACACUGCCAUUUGGCUUUCCUAUUAGCUUUGGCUUUUCCCCAAAACCAGCUACCUGGGUCAUAAACUGAAACUUAUUCUAAGUUUUAUGCAUGCGUACCUUGUUUUCUUUUUCAUUCAUCCUGGUUUCAUGCUAAAUAUGAAAUUAGCUAGAAAACUGCCACUUCCAAAUGUUCAUUGCAAGGCUGUGAAGAAAAGAACACCGUUUUUGUAAAGACUAUCAUGCCCACGUUUAUUUGGUAAAUAUUUGCCAUUAAUGGCAGCAGGUAAUGGAAACUGCUCAUCCUGUGAUCAUCUGCUUUCUAUUUUUUUAGUCUUCUAGCUUCUGUCAUUUCCUUCCACCACUCAAAAGCUUUCCUUAUGCAUAUUCCUUUUUCUGGCCUCAUAUUUUCAUGCCCUACACAUUCCCGUUAAGUGACUUCAUCCAGUCUCUCGCAGUCCUCCACUCCCAGCCCAGACCUCUUCCCAACCUCUUGACUUUAAUCAUUUACAACUUGGAUCGGCCAUCUGGUUUUCCAUGGGCAUCUCAAACUCAACAUGUCCAAAAUAAAGUUAUCACCUUCAACAAUCCUUCUACUUCCCGAAUCAUCCAAUUCCCUCCCGCCAUUCACCCAUAAAGAAUUAACCUCUGAUGUUGCAUGCUACCCCAUACUAUUCACCUUCAUUAAUUUAUCCACGUGAAACUCAGAAUCCCCUACGUUCAUCGAUCCACGUGGUAUUAUCUCAUUAAAUGCCAUUUUCUGCAUAUGUAAGUAGGAAGAAUAACAUCCACUUAUCCCAGCGGGGUGGGGGGAGUUGCUACUGUUUUAAGGCUCUUUCAAAUCUACUUUUAUGUGGUUAAAAUGAUGGAAUAUCUUUGAAUGAAUUUAAGUAUAAAACUAUCUCUAUAUGUUUUUUACUUUUGGCUUAGAAAAUGUUAAUAUUUUCAUUCAAGCCAUCUGGGUCUUGGAAAUACGUGCUUUUGAUGACUAUAUGUGAAAACUAUUUUUUGCAUCUUUAAAAAUUAUUGAAGGAAUGCUACUUACCAAAUUUGCUUUCCAUUUUUCUGACCACAAAUGACAAUUAACUUGCAGUUCAAAAGACAAACUUGAAAUAUAUUUAAGCCGUUCCAAGUGAACACCACAGAUAUCAAAUGAUCAAAUGAAGAUAGGGAUAGCUGUAGAUGACUCAGAUGUUUCCUUGACUUACCACUGUCUUUUGUCUGCAUGUAAUUUUCUUUCAUAUUAAAAAAAAAAAAGUCCUUUGGUACCAUCUACUCCUGUAUUACUUUGCCACGCUUAAAACAUUUUAUUCCCGGACACUGCAGUUUUGAAAUUACUCCCUGAAAGUCUCUUGAAGAAAAUAAAUUGAAUUUCCAUUCCCCCAGCUUGUUUCUUAACAAACAGCAGACGGAGAAAGUUUGUGACUCAAGAAACACAGAACUACAUGAAUAUUUUGUUAUAAUCAGACAUUUCCCUUCUGAUUCUCCCUCUGACCCUAAGGCGACACGGUGCCCGAGGAAACAAUAUUUUAUGUGCUAUGUACACAAUCUGUGCAACAGUUUUCCUUUAAAAUAUGCAGAUCUACUUUUAUAAUCUGAACCAUAAAAUGGGGCGAAUUUUCAAGUAGCCUCAUCCAUUUUAUGGAUAAACAUUCAACAAAUGACUAGACUGCCAAAAUAAAUUCUCCGAGGGAAGUUGAUAGACUGAAGCAAUAAGACCGGUAAAAGAAAUCCAACAAAGUAAACAGAGUCUUCCUCUAUGCAACACAUACACUCAGAUGUAUGUAAAACUAUGUAAAACAUGCACUCAGAUGAAAAUCAGACUUUUCCAAUUUUUGACAGUGGUCAGAGAGGAUGAAUCAGCUGACAUCUUCAGUGUGUGCAACUCCAAGUGGGUGAUACUGGUUUAGAAGUAUAAAUAAGGGGCGCCUGGGUGGCUCAGUCGGUUAAGCGUCCGACUUCAGCUCAGAUCACGAUCUCGCGGUCCGUGGGUUCGAGCCCCGCUUCGGGCUCUGGGCUGAUGGCUCAGAGCCUGGAGCCUGCUUCCGAUUCUGUGUCUCCCUCUCUCUCUGCCCCUCCCCCAUUCACACUCUGUCUCUCUCUGUCUCAAAAAUAAAUAAAGGUUAAAAAAAAAUAAAAAAAAAAGAAGUAUAAAUAAGUGGUAUUAAGAUAGUGAUAUUGGGGCGCCUGGGUGGCUCAGUCGGUUGAACUUCUGACUUCGGCUCAGGUCAUGAUCUCGCGGCCCGUGAGUUCGAGCCCCGUGUCAGGCUCUGUGCUGAUAGCUCAGAGCCUGGAGCCUGUUUCAGAUUCUGUGUCUCCCCCUCUCUCUGCCCCUCCCCUGUUCAUGCUCUGUCUCUCUCUGUCUCAAAAAUAAAUAAACGUUAAAAAAAAUUAAAAAAAAAAAGAUAGCGAUAUUGAAAUGGUCAGAGAUGGAAUAACAAUAGGCCAAGUAUAGGUUCAUCCUUUUAGUCAGUAUUCAAUAUACAUUGAACGCCUGUUAUGUCUAGAGUCUGUAUCAGUUUCUGGAAAGAAUCAACCAUUUUCUUACAAUUCAUAACAAAAUUUACUCAUCAGCUUGUAGAUGCAACUGGACCUCCUUCCUCCAGUAUAUUCUAUUUGAAUCCAUUUUCCACAUACAAGCCAGAAUUAACUUUGUAAAGUUAAAAUUUAGUUACAUGGUUAAGCUCAAACUCCCCAAUAUGGUUUACAAAGACCUUUAUGAUUUGACUCUUGCUUACCUCUUCUGCCUUGCUGUUCCACCUAGCUCCCUGAUCACAAUGAAUUACUAACCAUUCACAGAGUAAGCCAGGCCUUUGCAUUCUGUUUCUCCUGGCCAAAUGCUUUUCCUCCUCUCCUUGUCUCACCCUUUUCCUCUGACCUUCAGUUUCUAACCUAAACAUCUCCUUGGCCAAAACUUCUCCAAGGACUAAAACAUGGUUAGGUGAGCCUCUUAGGCAGCAAAUGUUCUACUCCCGAGCUAUACCCACAGGCGAACCUUUUCUUUUUUUUUAUGUUUAUUUUAUUUUUGAGAGACAAGAGGGAGAGAGAGAGAGAGACAGUGCGAGUGGAGAAGAGGCACAGAGAGAGGGAGACACAGAAUCCAAAGCAGGCUCCAGGCUCUGAGCUGCCAGCACAGAGUCCAACGCAGGCACAAACCCAGGAACCAGGAGAUCAUGAUCUGAGCUAAAGUCCGAUGCUUAACCAACUGAGCCACACAGACGCCCCCUGCAGCCACACAGACGCCCCCUGCCCUCUUAUGCACCACAUAACACUCCAGGCCUUAUACCUUGUAGCCCCUAACACAGCAAGUGAUUUACUUGCCUGCCUCCUACUAGACUAUAUAUCCCUCAAGGACAGGAAAUAUCCCCUCAUUUGCUCUGGAAAUCUCCUGAUGUGAAAUAGAGCCUUGGCACAUCUUAGUGAUGAUUUGCUAAGUAAGUGGAAAAUUAAACCGUGUAUUCUUCCCCUUGAUUUUGGUAAGACCAUUUGACGGUGGCAGCCGUGGGAGGUAAGGGAAAUUAUCCCCAGCCUCACUACUUGACUACAUGAAUUGAGAUAUCCGAUGGUAAAUGCACACACUUGAACAUAUUCCCUUUUCCCCUCCCUCACACAUUUUAGUUCUAAUUUAUCAUUAAAAUGUUUCAUCCUGAAAUCAAUAAAUGCCCCAAUCUUUCCCACUGAGAAUAUUCCAUGACUUCUUCUUGCUCUAUGUUUUAUGAUGGGUCAAAAUACAAGGCAUCUCCAAAAUCAACUUAAAGCUUUUUCUUUUCUUUUGAAAGCAGGGUGGAAACUAAAAUGAACUAGUCUAGAAAAAUAAAAAGAACUCUGUCCAAAUAAAUUGUUGUGGUCUGCACAGUGUAACACAUAAAAAGUACCGAACUUCUUAAAAUGUUUUAUGUCAUUGGUAUUUUUCUUUAAAUAUUUAUUGAUAUGGAUAUGGCACUUCAGUGUUACAGCAUAAUUUUAAGCUAUAUCUAUAGAUUCCAAGAUCAAAUCUGGAAAGGAAAUAAACCUCCAUCUAUGUAUAUUUGACUGGGAGGGAUUAGAUCAAAACACAACAGUUAUCUAUGGUUGAAUUUUAUUUUCAUUUUUCACUCUUCUAUAUUUUCCCACACCUUCACAAUGAGCAAGUCAAAAAGAAAACCAAUAAACAUGCUUACACACAGGAAUGAACAGAAAAGAUAGUGACAUCAUUCAAACAGAAAUUAGUAAGUAUGGGUGGUCUGUAAGUUUCUCGCUACCUUUAAAAUUCUAUAAUUUUAUGACUUCUCAAUGUACUAUGCACACAUAUGUAGAUUUGUCUACACUAGACACAAUAGGGAUCCAGAUCCCUACAGAAAUGCGUGGCAAAUGUUCUUUCACAAUAGAAUUAAUGGAAAAGUUUACAUAUGACUUUGGUCAUAAUAAACAGUGAAUGCCUUGCACAUAGUAGGCACUCCUUAGGUGUUAAAUGAAGAAAUCCAGCAAUUGGUCAACGAGUGGUAAAUGACCUUGGUGUUAAAAUUCUGUCUCUGCUGCCCUCCAGUGGCUCACGUGCUUAACUCUGAAAGACUUCAAAAGAGAAAAUCAAGUGUCUUCCAUUCCCAGAUCCUCAUUUGAAGGGACUAUGACUGUUCAGAUUUUGGGGGCUUGGUAUUCAUUUUGGACAAAGUUUUAUAUACGUCCUCUGUGAUAUUACCUUGGUAGGUCAAGAUCAAAUGCAUUAUCUGUCUCCUCCCACCUGAAGAAGGUCAAACUGAAGCAAUAGUUACAGACGGGGUCAAUAAACACGAAUAUUUGUACAUUCACACUUCAUAGAGAUUUUUCACUUGUGUCACCACAUUAAACUUCUAGUAAGAAUCUGUGCUGAUAAUAAUGAAAAUAAUUGCAACUCUUUUAUUAGAAAGUUCUGGCGGCGCCUGGGUGACUCAGUCGGUUGCGCGUCCAACUUCGGCUCAGGUCGUGAUCUCUUGGUUGGUGGGUUUGUGCCCCACAUCGGACUCUGUGCUGACAGCUAAGGGCCUGGAGCCUGCUUUGGAUUCUGUGUCUCCCUCUCUCUCUGCCCCUCCUCCGCUCACGCUCACGCUCUGUCUCUCUUGGUCUCUCAAAAAAUACAUAAACAUUAAAAAAAUAGAAAAGAAAAAGAAAUCGUUCUGGCCCCUUGUUCAGAUACAAAGGCAUGAUAGUGUUGUCAAGUGCCAUUAGGCAUGAAGGUUCGCAUCCAUAGUACACCUUAAGGAGCGGUCCAAAACUCUUAAACUUACGUAUCAUCUUGGUGUAGUACUGUAGAAAAAUGUUAACUUAGCAGCGAACACCAUCAGCAAAUAUCAGCGCCACAAUCGGUGAACAUUAGAACCGUAUUUUUAUAACGCCUUGGUCUGUGGGGGUUAUAUCCUGAAUUCAGGUAGUUGGUCAGUAGAAUGAUCGCAGGAAGAAACCUUGUUUCUAGAGAAACCUUGUUUCUGAAACUUUGUUUCAGUCUCAGUGCUUUGACAUUAGCUAUGAUCUACUAGCUAUCCUGCUUCCGGCCUCAUCCUGUGGUUUUAGACAACAAUCUCCAACUGAGUUAUCUUCUACAUGACUUCCUAAUGUGUUUAUCUUCCCCUGUUAUUGUAGUUCUUCUGGAAUAUCCUUUUAGUGUUAGCCAAGGAGUCUCUCAAUUCUUUCCUCGUCUGCCACCAUACCUCCAGGUGAGGCGAUUAUUUCUAUCCUUUUGCUCAUCUGCACUCUAUCUUUUUGAAUUAGAGUCUUUUUAUGUACUUUUAUUUAUUUUUAUUGUAUUUUUUUAGUCUUUACUUUCCAUCUCUUACUUCUGUCUCUUACUUGAACAAUUUCCUCCUUUUCAGUACUAUGGAAGUAUGUGGUAUUAUCCUUGAUAAUAAUGAGUAUUUUUUCUUAUUCUCAGAUUACUAGAGUCGUGUGUAUUUCACUGAUAUUUUCAUAAGCUCUUGGGUUUAUUCAGCAAAUGUAUCAUUUUUGUGCUUUUUACAUCACAGUAAUUUAGCAACUUGUUUUCAAUUAUAAUACUGGCAAUAUUAUAAAAGAACAUUUAUUUUUAGAACUAAUCCUAAGAGAAUAAUUUUUUCACAAAAGGUUUUUUAUUUAUAAAACUGAAGCAUUUAAAAAAAUAAACUGAAAUAAGGGCACCUGGCUGGCUCAGUCAGUUAAGCAUCCGACUCUUGAUCAUGGCUCAGGUCAUGAUCUCAUGGCGUCAAGAGUUCAAGCCCCACAUCGGGCUCUGUGCUGACAGCAUGGAGUCUGCGUGGGAUUCUCUCUCUCUCCUCUCUCUCUGUCCCUUCCCAACUCAUUCUGUGCCCCUCCAUCUCUCUCUCUCAAAAUAAAUAAACAUUAAAAAAAUAAUAAACUAAAAUAAAUGUCCAAGAGAUGUAUGAUAUAAACUCAAUAGUAUCAUAGAAUGCAGUAAUAUUCAGGAAUUCAAAGUUUUAAUUUAAUUAUUCAUUUGCUUGUUACAAGUCCCUAAAAUACCAAGUGAAAGUUAAAAUUAUAAGAGAUUUUGGGAGUUAAAAAAUAAAAACAAAGUACUAAGUACAAACAGUAUUUUCCCCCAUUUUUAGAAAUGAAGGUGCGUGCAUAUAUUGUGUGUAUGUUUAUGUGUUAUGUAUAUGUACACUUAAUGUCUGAAAGAACAUACUCUGAGCUAAUAACAAUGAUUUUAUCUGCGAUGAGGUUGUCAGAUAACGACAAUCUGACUCUGUAACCAAAAACUACCCCAACUCUCAUUAUUCUUAUAACAAUGAGGACUUUAAACUGUCCAAUUGUGGGGGUGCCUGGGUGGCUCAGUCGGUUAAGCAUCCGACUUCAGCUCAGGUCAUCAUCUCGCGGUGUGAGUUCCAGCCCCGCAUCGGGCUCCAUGCUGAUGAGACUGGAGUCUGCUUUCGAUUCUGUGUCUCCCCUUCUCUCUGCCCCUCCCAUGCUCAUGCUCUGUCUCUGUCUCUCCAUAAUAAAUACAUGUUAAAAAAUAAAUAAACUAUCCAAUUGUGCCUUAAACUUCAGCACAUAUUUUCAUACAAUUUCUUAAACAUUUCCAAUCAAUUUAUUGUAAUGCAAUGAAAUCUAACACAUAACACCAUCUCUAGUCUAUCAGUCCCCAUCAAUUAUUAGCAGAAUAUAUUUGAGACUAGCACAUUAAGAUAAUUUCGUUGGUCAAUGGGCAUUAUUAAGCAAGAAGGGGAAUUCAGAAGCAGAAAUGCACCGCGUUUGAGAAGCAAAGGCAUCAAGCUUGGUUUGUAAGUACAAAAGAUGAAUUAAGAAGAUGUGUCCUUAAGACCUUACGGAGACACAUACAAAAAGGAAAAAUAAACAACUGAACCGUGGUAGCCUUUACAUUUUUGUGGCAAUGAAAGUGAGCCAAGAACACAACGAGAAUUUGUUUUAAACCACCAAGUUUGUGGGACUCUGUUAUGGCAGCCAUAGGACACAAAUACAAUUUCCUUAGGAAAUUAUCCAUUUUAUCAAGGUUUUAAAUUUUUACAUGUAUAGACAUCUAUAAAGCAGUCCCCUGUGAUUUUUAAUUGCUUUCUGCUUCAGUUUGUUUCCACUCAAUUUCUCAUUUAGUAUUUUUUAACUUUCUUUUUCCUUAAGUUAGUGUUUGUCUAGUGUUUUAUUUUGCCACAAAAUGGGGAUUUUAUUUAUUAAUUAGAUCUACUGUUUUCUAUUCUGAACCUCAACAAUUCCUGGUUUUAUCUCUACUACUUCCUUGCUUAUUUCUUUCUUUGGUUUGCUUUAUUUAUCUUUUUUUUUCUUUCUUUUCUCCCCCUUGCAUUUUGAGCUGGAAAUCUAUUUAUUUUCAUUCUUUAAGUUUUGCUCAUAAAAGUGUUUAAGGCUAUGAAGCUUCCUCUGAUCGGUACUUUAAAUAUACCAAAUAGAGUCUGAUAUGUAGUGUUUUCAUGUCAUUAUUUUUCAAAAUUUCUGUAAUUUCAGUUUGUAUUCCCCCAUCACCUAUUAAGCAAGAAUUGUUGAAUGGAAGGCUUUUAAUUUUCCAGCUGGACUUCUGUUGUCAAUAAUUUUUAUUUGUUGGCUCUGUGAUAAGAUAAUGUAUAACAUUCUACUUCAUGGUAAUGAUUGAUAUUUUCCUCAUGACAUAUGAUCAGUUUUUGUGACUGCCAUGUGCACUUGAGUAGGUACACUCUAUUAACAGAGUUUGAAGUUUAUAUAUCCUUGAGCUUUUAUUAUCAACUUGGUAUUUGUGGUCUCAAGUUUAUCAUGGUAUUUUAUAAUUACACUGUAAAUUUGCUGAGUUUUUUUCUAUACAUUGCAGCUUUUCUUUGUUUUGUUUUUUACCUUUUAAAAUCUCUUUCUCUAUUUAGAAAGUUCUAGUGUUACCCUUAUCCUUACGUACUUUUUAAAACUCUUAGUUCUCUCUUCCUUCUUUAACUUUUAACUCAGCAUUUUAUUAGUUAUUUCUGAUAUCCAUUUACUCUCCUCCAUUCUCUAUAUUUAAAAAAAAAAAUGAAAUUAGCGGGGCGCCUGGCUACCUCAGUUGGUGAAGCAUCCGACUUCAGCUUGGGUCUUGAUCUCAUGGUUCGUGGGUUCAAGCCCCACGUCGGGCACUGUGCUGACAGCUCAGAGCCUAGAGCCUGCUUCAGAUUCUGUGUUCCCCCCUCCCGUCCCUCCCCCGCUUGUGCUCUCUCUCUCUCUCUCUCUCAAAAAUAAACAUUAAAAAAGUUUUAUAAAAGAAUAAAAUUAUUCUACCUUCCCCUUUUGCUGUCCCUUUCCCAUAGUUUAGUUGCGUUGUUUAUAUUUGUCAAAGAAUAACUUACACAGCAUACAACGCAUUCUUCUACCAUGCCUGUCUCCAUUUUUGUUUCGAUCUUACUUAGAUCUACAACUGAAUAUAUUCAAUGUAUGCCGUCUUUUUUUUUUUUUUUGCUGAAGCUUCCUCAGUCAUAUCUUCAGUUAUGAGAAGCUCCUGGUCUAGUAGAUUUCUCAGGAAGGGCCGUUGGGUACAGAAUGAGCUGCUCACUAGCAUAUUAGCAUCAAUAUCUGAAAGGCAACUUGCCUUUCUACAAUUCUUGGUUCACACCUCCUUUCCUUAAGCUGGUUGAAAACGCUGUCAAUUGAUGCCUCGCUUUACUUAUGCUUUUCUGAGAAAUUUGAUGUUGGUCUCAUUAUCUUGUCCUUGUAACUUUUUUUUAUUUUUUUUAACCUGGUGGCCUUGAGAGGCUUGUUUCUAAUUUAAAAAAAUUUUUUUAAUGUUUACUUAUUUUUGAGAGAGAGAGACAGAGCACGAGCAGGGGAGGGGCAGAAAGAGACAGGGAGACACAGAAUCCGAAGUAGGCUCCAGGCUCUUAGCUGCCAGCACAGAGGCUGAUGUGCAACUUGAACCCACAAACCAGGAGAUCCUGACCUGAUCCGAAGUUGGAUGCUUAACCGACCGAGCCACCCAGGCAUCCCUCUUUUUCCUAAUUUUUAAAGUCUAAUAGUUUCAGACUAUACCUUUUUUAAUAGGUAGAAUAGGGUAUAUCACAGCAUUUAUCAUUGUGGUUCAAUUUUGCCUGGUGGGUCAAUUUUUCCUCCUUCUGAAACUGCAGUUAUACGUAAGUUAGUUCUUCUUUGCUUGAAUACCAUCUCAGUCACUUAUCUUUGGCCUUUUAAAAACCUCUUCUUUAUUUUUCAUUCACAAGGUUGUUUUCUUACUAUUUUUCAUUACACUUUAUUAAGUGUUCACUCACAUCUUUUCUUCCUUGGAUUCUCCAUAAUUUAGUCUUUAUUUUUUAUAUGAUUCCCCUCCCCCUCCAAUUCAAUCAAUUCCCAUUUCAUUUCCUUCUAUUCUUGACUCUUGGAUUUUUGAUGUAACCUGUUUUUUGUUUUAAUUCCAAAAGACUGGUUUAAGAAUAUUUAAUUCAGCUUGGAGCACUGUGUUAUAGUUUCCUCCUACUUUGCUCUUCUUCUGUUUGAGGAAAAGUUCAUCAGAUAAACUCGAUUUGCAUUUUCGUUUUCUCUUAACAGUAAUUUGUACAAAGACUAUGUCCUUGCUUGGGACUCUUUUGUUUUUAACGUUUUAUUUUCAAGUAAUCUGUACACACAAUGCAGGGCUCGAAUUUAUAAUACCAAGAUCAAGAGUCUCAUGCUCUACCAACUAAACUGGCCAGGUGCCCCUUAUGAGAUUCUUACUCAAAAACACCUUCUUCUGUCAGUAUAACAAAGUGUAACUUCUUUUUAGAUGGUGCUUGAUUUUCUGUAGAGAGUAAAGAAAAUGUGUGCUCUUUGACAUUUUUAUUUCCUUUUGUCUUUCAGGAUCUUAAAUUUCUUUUGCUUCUUUUCCUCAUUUACGCUGAAUUUUUCAAGACGUGUCUCUCUCACCUUUUUAACCCUUAUCUUUCACCAAAAUUUGUUCUCUUCCAAUUGCUUUCUUAUAUCCUCUUAUAUAUUUUUAAGCCCCUUUCAUGAAAUUACUACCCCUUUUCAGCAUUUUUACACUGAGGGUUGAUUUCCUUUCUCUGGAAGUAAUUUUUAGUUCAAUCUUAGGUCCACUGACAUUUCUCUUUUUCUCUCACGCAGUUUUCAAUGGGCUGCUGUUGACCUCAAAGAACACUUCUGUCAUGAGUAUGAGAUAUAGUUCACUGGUCUAUUUAGUCUUCUAAUUUUACAUGUAAACUUUGGACCUUCUCUACUACAAGAGUUUUGCAUAGUUUUAUUUGUUCUUCUUGUUAUUCUGAUUUUUUUUUAACAGGCCAUGUUGGGAGAUUUGAAUUUACACCACUGUCUUUGCUUUGGCUUCCUCAGACUCCCACAAUUUUAAGUGGUGGAUUUUAACAUAUUAUCAUCAACUUAAUUAAAAGUUACUUUGAAAAUAAUGUGUAUUUUUUAAGCAAAAAAUCCCACAAAGCUGCAUAAAUGCUCCUCAGCAGGAGACAUGUUGAAGUCUUCAGGCCUCUGCUCAAGGAGAAACUUCUUUCGAAAUACCUGAAUCACCCACUACUAAGCAUCUUUGAGACAUUAAGGACAUGAGACAGUUGCAAGGGUAUUACAAGUGGGUAAAUGGAGUUUUCUCAAAUGAAAGAUAGAUUAGGUAAGAUAAUUAUGGCGAUUUUGAUUUUGAGCCUAAAAUAGUGUUAUAGAAUGGCUAUUAAAAAGAUAACAUGUGAAGCACUGGUUGAACAUCAGUUUAUUGUGAAGAAGUACUAUCAGGUUAUCUAGACUUUUUUUUGACAGGAUAGCUAGAUUUGGGGAUUGUUGUAAAUAUAAAUGUAUCUGGAUGUGUGGUUACAUUUGACAAAUCUUUUAUUAAACCCCUUCGGACAGAAUGGGAAAAUGGAGGCUGUAUGUUUCUUACUGUUUCCUAUAAGCUAUUAGACUUAUAUUUGUGACAGAUACUCAUUCCUUCCUACAAAAGAGGUCUAUCAACACAUUCUUUUUCACUACUGUUGUCCUAACCAAUUUUCCCUUAUCUGAUCCUUGUUUGUUUUUACCCCAGCUUCUGACCUGUUCCAUUUUCCCAUUUAUGACUUUGCCUUGAGCCUUGGCAUUCAUUACAAUUUUCUGGCUAGCAGUGACAUCUGGCUAGAAUUCACAUUCUCUUGGAUUACUUCUAGAAAAGGGGUGACUAUAAAUUGAAGAUGAUAAAGCUAUAAAGUAAAACAAAGGGAUAAAAGAAUGACAGAGUCCAUAUUCAGAUUUUGAAAACCAUUUUAAUGGCAUCAUAUGUAAGUUAAACUAAGUGAAUUUCAUAAGAUUUCUUCAUAUAUGUUCCUCUUUUCCCUUAAGUAUGUCACAAUGUUUAAGAAUUACUGACUUCCCAAAUUCUGAAAUUUCUUGUUGUUCUGAAGAAACAGCAGAUGGCACUGCUAACUUGAAGAACCAAUUUCUAGAUGCAUUAAAAAUUGGAGACAUGACUUCUUAAAACUAUUAACAGACACUAUUGUUUUCAGCUUACAUGUGUAUUGUAGAAUGGGAAAAUAAAGUUAAGCAGAUGGAAGAAAUUUUAAAUCCAUAAUUACAGAUAAAAUCACUAUGAACAUUUUAGUGCACAGCCGAGUUUUCUAUUCACAUGUUUAACAAAAAUGGAAUAUAUCUUGCAAGAGCUUUGUAACCAGGUUUUUCAAAUGAACCACGUAUUAUAAACAAAUUGCCUUGUCAUAUUUCAAAAACCGGUUUUUUAUGGCUGUAAAAGGAUAUCAUAAUUUAGUUAACCAAUUACAUGUUGUCUGAAAUUUGGAUUAUUUCCAGUUUCCUGUUCUCAUAAAUAACACUGUCAUGAACAUCCUAUUGCCUAAUUCCUUAAUUACAGGGUCACAUGCUUAAUUGUCUCCACAAGAUAAAUUCCUAAAAGUAGAAUUUUUGUUUUAAAAUAUAUCUCUAUUUUUUAAGUAUUAUUUUUAAAUUGGUCCCAGGACCAAUUUUUCCCUUUGAUUUACAUAUACUCUAUAUUAAAAUACAUUUGUUUCAAAGUAAGUAUAAACUAUAACUUUUAAAAAAUUCUGUCUGAUUAAAUAUUUUCAAACUUUUUAUAGGUUUAUGGCCUGCUUGAUUUUUGUGAAUUUCACAGAGUUCAUGUCUUUUAUCCCUUUUUAAAAAACAGAAUAAUUCAUGAUUUCUCUACUUAUUUUGUAAGGAUUCUUGAUAUAUUAAGGUUAUCAUCGCCAUUAAGGUUAUCCUAAAUAUCCCAGUACCGUUAACCCAAAAGUAAUGUAGGACAACAUUAUUUUACUUUAAAAAGAAUAUAUUUCUUAUUUUUAAAGUUUAUCGAAUUUUUCUUUGAGUGUUAUUUUAGGAUUAAUUUUAAUAAAUGUCCACAGGAGCUAUGAAAAGAGUUAGUCUAUACUGCAUUCUAUAGAAUUCAAAAUUUAUAGUUCUGGCAUAUUUCUCAUAUCCUCUACAUAAUGUUUAUUUCUUGACCACUUGGUUUUUCAUGGAAAAACAGUUAUGUUUCUUUUCAUUUUCUUUUUUUUGCUUUCUCAUUAUAUUAUUUGGUGCAUGAAAGCUCAUAAUCAACAUAUUGUGUAGAUUUUGCAUUUUGGUUCAAAAAAAAGCUCUUCACCCUAUUUCAGUUGCUUCUUUCUCUCGCUCUCUUUUUUUUUUUAAAUCUCAAAUUAUACUACUUAGUACGCUUCUUAAUUAAUGUAUCAAUUAGUACAUUAUUAAUAUAUCAAUCAAUAGAUACUUCUAAGUGGUUGAAGAGUUUGAUCUUUUCAGUAGCCUUAAACAUUGUAUUGAUAAUGUUUUCUAGGUGUUUUCAAUGUCUCCCUUCAAACUAGCCCUACCACAGAUUCAUGUCACCACACACAAUGGAUUAUAAGGGUCUGAAUUCCAUAAUAUAAAUGCUAUAAAGAAGGAUGUGAGUAUCUCUUAUGUACUCACUGCUUAGGGAACUGCUUAGUUGGAAUAGAAUAUUCCCAUUUAAAUUAAUGGCUUUUUAAAAAAUAAUAGUCAUUCACUUAAUGACAGGGUUUUCAGGAAUAAUUUAAAAUCUUUAAGCACAGGAUGGUGUAUUUCCUUAUCAAACAUCCACACAAGGUAGGUAUUAUUAUUAUUACAAUAUUUUACAGAUGAAGAAAGAAAGAGAUUAAAUUACUCCCCUCAGGUAAAGCACCAGGAUCCAAACCCACACUACAAAAAUAUCUGAGUUUGUGGUUUUAUUCCCACAACUAUGCCAGAGGGAGAAAAGCCUGUGAAUUUUUAUGUCCUUUGCUGAAUAGUCAAUUGGAAUUUUUUUCUUAUUUUAUAUAGUUUACAUAAGCUCUUUAUGUGCUAUAGUUAGUAAUCAAUUACGAUUUCAGUAACAAGUAUUUACCCUUAAUUUCUCUUCAGUAGAGAAAGGUUCUACCUCAUUCUUGAUGUCUAUGUGUGAAUCUAUUUGCAUAAAAUCCCUGGAUAUCUUGACCUUGUUAUCACUCUUUUCGAGGGAGAAAAAGCAUCAUGAUCCCAUCGAUGAGUUUGGGAGCAAACUUCCCUCCAGUGAGACAAGAAAAACAAGUUCUGUUCUGCUCUUUCAUGCUGUGAGUUUGAUAGGGGCAGGCCCCCCGUAUUUUGUAAAGGCUCUGGUUGGUCCAAGGCUAGCUGUGAGUGGAUGGGUAUAUCGACCUAAUUCAGCGACUUUAUACUAGCACACACCUGCCUAUCACUAUCCGGCAACACCCUCCAAGAUUAGCUUACUAAGAAAGGUGAUAUCUUGGUCUCUACUGACCGAUCUCUUUUAUUUUUCAAUAGGUUCAGAAAUGGGACAGAGUAGAGAGGUACGAUUUAUUGGACAAUUUGAAUUUCAAUAAUUUGUUGUUUUCUUAAUGAUUUUUUUAUAAUAUAAAAUAUUUUAAUUUGGGGGAGUAAAAUGUAUUGCUCUUUUUUUAUUCUUUAGGUUGCUUUUAUCCUUAGAAAAUCUUUACCCAUGCUAAGACCAUUCAGAUUUAUCUAUAUAUUCCAUCCAGCUAUUACAUAGUUUGGCUUUUUGUUAUUUAAAUUCAUGUGAAAUUAGCUUAUGUACAAAAGAUGGGAAGAUUUAUUUUCUAAAUAAUUAAGAAAACACCCUGGCAAGUUUUAAACUUUCUUUUUUAUUCACAAAAUUGCUAUCAUUUCAUAAUAUAACAUCUAUUUAUGUGUGAGUGUAUAUGUGUAUGUAUAUGUUAUGCAUGUGUGUGUGUAUAUAUAUAUGUGUGUAUAUACAUAUGUGUGUGGGUGUGUGUAUAUAUAUAUAUACAUAUGCGCACCUGUUUACCCACAUAUUAGUAUAUGUCAUGUCUCUGAACUGUCAAUUACAUACUCUUUUGAUUCUUUUACCAAAGUUCUAUUUGUCAAUUACCCUAACUACAUAUAUAUAUAUUUUUUUUUUUUCAUUAAAGUAUAGUUGACAAGCAGGGGUGCCUGGGUGGUUCAGUUGGUUAAGCGUCUGACUUUGGCUCAGGUCAUGAUCUCAUGAUUCGUGAGUUCGAGCCCCAUGUCAGGCUCUGUGCUGAUAGCUCAGAGCCUGGAGCCUACUUCAGAUUCUGUGUCUCCCUCUCUCUCUGCCCCUCCCCGGCUCAUGUUCUCUCUCUCUAAAAUAAACAUUAAAAAAUUAAAAAACAAAUAAAGUAUAGUUGCCAUGCAAUCCAUAUAUAUUUUUUAAUCAUGUAAGGAAAGUUCUGGUUUGCGUGAUCUGAUUAUGUGAAUACAUGAUAUAAUCCACAACAUAACAUAAAAUACUAUUUUCCAGCUAUAAAGUUUGCAAGCAAAUGUUUAAAUCGAUUUCCUACAACAGCUUUUAUUAUUUUAUAAUUAUAAUAUUUAAGCACUGCCCAUGUGUAUGAAGAGUCUGUGAGUCAGGCCAUAGACUGUAUUGCGGAUUGUGCUACCAGCUGGCCUACUGCAUGACAGAGAACGGUCACCACCAGUCACAAUUACAUCUGUUUGUGCCUCUAUUUGUUAGACAAUCUGGCACCAGUAACAGCUGAGAAGAAAGAUUUGCAAACAGCUUGUUUGAUUGAUGUGUCUAGAGUCAUCUCUAAAUCCAAAUGAAAUGUUAAGGGGUAUCAAGAAAUCGUAAAUCAGGCAUAUCUCUCUUUGAGCCAUGAGAAGGUUUUGCGAACGCUUUUAUGGCACCCAUGUGUGAGAGCUAUGAUUGGCUGAUAUUCAAAAAGAGAAAUCGGACCUGCUUGUUCCACACAAUUAAUUAGGUCACAUUUUUAAAGAGUUUUUAUUUAUUAAUUUUGAGGUGAGGGGAGAGGCAGAGAGAAUACCAAGCAGGCUUGGUAUUCGAGCUCAGUGCAGGGCUCAAUCUCAUGAAGCCCUGAGAUCACAAGCCCUGAAAUCAAGAGGAGGAUGUUUAACCGACUGAGCCACCCAGUGCACCCACCGGGGGCACCCUGUGCCCCUAAUUAGGUCACAUUUUUAACUUUAUUGAGCUGUGAGGUGUUCCACAGGGCCUAGCACUUAAGUCAUGAUCAUAGAAACUGUUGGAGGAGGGGUUUCAACCAGGUAAGAGGAAUACAGCAUCAACUCAGGAUGCAGAAGGUGGUUGAUUCCAAGGAGUAUGUUGGGAAAGCAGAUAACCUGUGACCGAGGUUACAUGUUCUGGGGUAGCCAGACAUCUAUCAGGACAGGCAUGUACAACCAGGGUAGCUGAGCUCUAACCAGCAGGACACAACCUUGGGGGAGAUGCCAGCACUGAACCUUCACGGGCUAUGACAAGAAGUUUUCACAUUUGGUAUCUGUGAAAACUCUAAAUGCCCAGGAGAGAGUGCAAAAGGACCUUUUUAUGAGGUAAAACUUAAAAAAAAAAAUCCUUAUCUGUUGUAUUAGAUGCUACUGAUUAAUACCACCUCUGCCUAACUGAAGGGGACAAGUAAUUACUGGAAGAAGAUCAUGAAUCUCACAGAAUCCACAUGAAGCCUAGAGGAUCAAACUUGAAAAAUGGGUAAAAACCAAGGGAAGUUAGGCGGGAGGCACUGUGUCAAAGCAAGGGCCCGGGAGACGUCGGGCUCUGGUGACACGUUGGCCCUCGCACUUCUGUCCUGAACUCUGUGGCUGCCAUGUGCCAUGACAGUGAAUAAGUUCUAAGGUAUCCUUGGCUUUCGUUUUAUUCUUAGAACUUAAAUUCCUGGUUAGGAGCAUCUGAUUGGCCGAUGCUGUUCAUGUGCCCGCCUGGUUUGGAAGCAAGGGGGGAGAAUCUGAAACCUUAGGCUUCUUUAGUGUGAGGAGUGCCUUGACUCCUUAGAGAAUCCCUGAGAGUAGGAAGGGAGAAAGUCUGGGUGUUGGGUAGGUAGCAGGGGGAAAAAUGGAGAAGAAAAAAAAAGAGAAAGAAAAAGAAAACAGGCGCACACGUGCACGCGCGCACACACACGUAUCAGCAAUGAAGUUCUAUACCUGAAAUUUUUAAAACAUUCUGAAUAUUUGUUACUUAGACAAUAAAAAAAUUUCUUUUUUCCACAAUAAUUUGUUUUGAAAAGGAUAUUUCUUAAGGUCUGCUUUUUUUUUCUACUUUUGGUGAAAGAAAUAUCUUCUCUUUGUUCAUUCUUUUGAUAAGCGCCUGGUAUACCUCCCAGAAACAGGGUGCUUGGACCCUCCUUGAUUUCCCCAAGUAAGGCUGAUCUCUAGCUCCUGGAUCCAGUAGUCCAAAUUGAGUGCAGAGGGAUGUGGGGUAGUUAAGUCCUGGUAGGUAAAUCUCAUUUCUGGAGAAUUUCUCAUCUGUGUCUCUCAAAAUACCUCAUCCUGUGUGGCUGGAUGUCACGGCAUAAGCUGUGGAAACCCACGCAGAAGCUGUGCCACCUCCAGGAGACUAUUCCCCACCUCUGCCCAUGCCUAUUUCAGCCCUCUGAACAGUGAGCGGCCUAGACCCUGACCAAAGCUUUCUAAAGUCACCACUGUUAGCAGCCAGUGACUUGAUGAAGACUUCCAAGGCUCAGAACUCUCGGGACAGUUACUCGUGAGCCCUACUGGACUCCCCUACAGCACUUACACCAUCAAAGUCUGGUAAGCAGCAGCUGGCAAAGGCCUUCCAGGAAGAGGAUUUUCCUAUGUUCCCAUGGUCCAUUUCCAACUCAAGCUACAGACCAUAUAAAAUAAUGUAUGUUUAGAAUUCUUAAUUUUUGGAAGGCUCUACUUUCUAAGGCAAAUGAUUUGCAAGUCAAUCUUGAUUAAUCUUCUUUAAACAAGUCUCAUGUGCCUUAUAAUUAGAAAUUCUAGCAUUUGGAUGGUACCCUUCCCUAGUUUCUUAUAUGAAUGUAGUUGUUUCUCCAUUCUUGGCUGAUUCCCCUAGUUACUCGGGAGGGAAAUGCUGGACAUCUGCUGUCAAGUAGCCAACUUGUCCAACAGAUGGCAACGUGAUCUACAAUUGUUCUUGUUAUAUUUUAUUUCACCUCCUCCUUUGAAUUCCUGUCUCCUUACUUUCUUUUGGCAUUGACAGAAAGGCAGGAGGCAGAAAUGAAUUGGGCAAGAAGGGAAAUAGCACAUUUCUCUCAUAUCCCCACCUCUUCGAGAGGCUGCUUCCUGUGAGCUUUGCUUCCUGCCCUCACAUCUACCUAGUUAACAACUGUUCAGCUCAAAUGCUACCCUCUCUGGGGAGUCAUCUUAGACUGCCCUCAACAUUGCCGGAGCCCCCAUAAGUGCCCAGAGUGCUCCCUUAGAGUGCUCUAAACAUGCCUCUCUAGCACUUAUCCAUGCUAUCCUAAUUGUUGAUGUAUUCGCUCAUCUCCCUACCCAGACUGUGAGCUCCCAGAUAGAGAUGGACUCGUCACUGUACUCCCAGGGUCAAGUUCAGUUAGUAAAAGGAAUAAACAGGUUUGGGAAGGAGACAAAAGAGUCAAGAAGGAGCGUUUUCCUGAAACCUCUAGAUUGUUCUUAAAUUGGUACCACUGAAGUUCUCCCGUGCUUUUGUUCGACCAAUUUGAGAAGACAAAUGUGAAGAAUAAAGAAAGAGCUGGAUUACUGGAGCUGAUAACUAUUUUUCACUUAUGCCCUAUUAAAAACAUAGUGCGUGUGUUGAGUUAAUUUAUUGAUUGUAAAUAGUUGUUAAUAGCAAAUAGCAAUACAACAUAGCUUUUGAUAAUAGGCUCCACAUAAUCCCAGCUCUUUACAAUACAUGCACUAUUCUGCACUGGUAGAAAAAUAAGUUGUUCACUGUGAAAAUGCCACCCAUUAGUGCCACUGCUCCCAAACGAUAUACAAUCUUGUGUUUUAUGGCUCUCAGCUGCACACUGCCUGGAAGAUGCUUUAGACAUGAGCCAACUUUUUACAUCUAACAAAUGCCCAGUAAAAGACACUUAGAAUUCCAGUUGGACUAAACUUGCCCCUUCUCCAGAGGGCACAUAAAUGAAUAAAUACAAGGAAAUCCCCUCCCAUUGCACACACACAUAUGCACGCACGCAAUCCUCAGAGCAGCUGUGUUAUAUUAUAAGUUGGAGGCCUUUUGUUAGUUCAGAUGUUUCAGGUCUGCAAAGGCACUCUGGAGAAGAAAUAAAUAUUAUGAGUAAGUCUCGUUUCCAUGCUUGUAGUGGGGAAACACUUACUAGCACCGUUUACUACAGUCUUAAACUGAAACAAUCUCAUAAAAGAAUACCAGCAUUACUCACUCAGCACAUGACUGCUAACACAAGAUGGUGUCUGUUUUAUUCCCUAAAUAUUCAAAACAUGAUUUCAUUCAGACUCUUUCCCAGAUGGACUUCCUUUUCAGUUAAACUAAUCGGAAUAAUCAUGGAUUGUGUGCUUGCUAAAUCUAUUUUUUUUUCCUUAAACCAUUCAACUCUCUUUUAUUUUACUAAGUAGUGCAUAUAAAUAAAAUUUCACAAAUGAGAGAGCUUGGAUAUUAGCAUUAACUUAUCAAAGGAAAGGCAGGUUGGAGCUUGGUGGGAGCUCAACCUGGAAUCCAGGUCAUUCCAUGUGAGGAUUUGGUCUUCUACUGGGAAAGCUCGGCGUCUGAAGUUGACAAAUUUGGUAAGAAGAAGACCGUGUACUGGAGAGUGAUGUAAAUGUGGAUUUAGUAAUUUACGAGGAGAAAGGACUCUCGAAAUAACAAAAACACUACAAGUCUGCACAAUCAGUGCAUUCUCUUAUUAUUAUCAAAGUAUGUGUGAAGCCAAAGUAUAAUAAAAUUUUUUCGUGAACAUACAGUCAGAACAAGGGGACACGGAGAAAUUUAUUUUUAAUGGCUCUGAGAGCCUGAUACGUCCGUCUCUCUAUGAAGCCUUGUCAAAGGGAUUAGAAACACUUUGCCAUGCUUCUCCCAAAGCCUGGUACAUUCUCUCCCCAUUCUUCACUAACUUUUACUAAUCCAUCUAAUCUUAGCUUCAUUAUCACUUUCUUAGAGACACCUUUUUUGGUCUUCUUAUCUGAGAAAGGGUCCCCACUGAACACUCCAGAGCACUCUGUAAUUUCCCUUUAUAGCACUUACCUCACUUACUCAUCUGUUGCUGUAAGAUCUGUCUGCCUCUAGACUGUAAACUCUAGGGGAGCAGGAACCACGUUUGUUUUGAGUCCCACUAGCUCCUCAGGGCCAACCACAGUGCCUGGCACCUCUGAAAGCAUUCAGGACCUACUUGAUAAAUGAACUAAUGAAAGCGCAUCCAGGAGCUGGGCAGAGUAAUGGCGAAGGGCACAGGUGCUAUAUUCAGGCUUCCUUGUUUGAAAUCCUGCCUCUGCCUCUCAGUGACUGUGUGAGCUUAAACAAGUUACAAAAUCGGAUUCUUUAUAAAAUGAGGACAUUGACAGCUCCUGCCUCCUAGCAUUCUAAUAAGGAUUAAAUAAAUUGAUACAAAACACCUGGAACAGUGACCGGCACAAAGUGAACACUCAAGCAGAGUCAGUUCUUCAUAUUAUCUUGUAAAGGACAACUCUAAGAAAAAUGUUAAGCCUGACUGCUAAAACUCAGUUUCCUUGGGAUGUUCCUGGGAUGGGUAUGAUUAAUACUAACCUCUGAAGAUAUUUAUUCAUGUUUUCCAUGGUUUGGCAGUACUAUAUUUCUGAUUAAGAAUACUUCAGGGGCACCUGGGUGGCUCAGUUGGUUGAGCAUCUGACUUCAGCUCAUGUCAUGACCUCAUGGUUUGUGAGUUCGAGCCCCACAUUGGGCUCACUGCUGUCAACCUAGUGCAAAGCCCACUUUGGGCCCUCUGUCCCCCUUUCUCUGCCCCUUCCCUGGUUGUGCUCUCCCAAAAAUAGAUACAUAUUUUUUUUUAAAAAAGAAUACUUCAAUUAAAUAGGUGAAUAUAUUAAAACAGAUUAUACCCAAGCCCUUCCAGCCUGGAACCCACUUUAUCUUCUUUGCAUGAUGUUUUGUGUCUAUCUACUGAUCCAUCAUGCAUGAACAUCAGAGCUUAACUCGGACGGCAGCUGUAUUAUCCUUAUCUCCAAGUUCUUGGGACAGCCAUCUCUAUAACAACGAACUACGGACAACAAUAUUCAAGGUGGAUAUUUUAUAACACUUAGAAAGUAAAAAAAGAACAUUAUAAAUAUAUACAAUUCCAUAACAACAGAGGUAAUCAUUGUAUUUGUCUUAUUUGGUUUUAAAGGCUUUACUGCUAAAUACCAUGGGGCAAAGUACCAUAUUUAACAAUUACAUAUUACAAUGUUGUCAGACAAAACUUGCAUGGUUGUUAGAAUCUUGGUCCCUGGCUCAUUUGGUGAACAUGUAUUUACUGAGUACCUAAUAUGUGCCAGCCAUUACACUAGAGGUGGUCUAUAACACUUUGGGUUUGAACUGAAGAAUGAUACAAAUAGGACUCCAUUAUUUGAUGAAUUGGUAUUUCAGUUAUCAAACACUAAAUAAACGUUUAAUAUAUUACUGUCUGCUAUUUUCAAUGAUAAAAUGCUGAUAAUGAUAAUGUGUGAAAAUGUACUGCUAAAACAACUAAUGUGGGGGCAACCACCUUUUCCUCCCACCUACAUACACAUGAAGUAUGUCCUUUGAUCAUUCGCUGUAGGUGAUACUCAAAGAGCCUAUUUUCAUACACAGUUGAGCAUUAUUUACUUGAAAUUAAAACACAUCUAUGUCAAAACACACCUCUUCCUUACUUUUAAUGUCACUAUAGUAAACCCCAAAUCAGGCCUUUCUGAUGUGCCUUUCUAUAUCUGAGCCUUGAUUUGUCCAUCUUCUCUCUGUUCCAUCUUCUUACUCCCUCAUAUAGGACAUCUAGUGUUUUUAGUCCAUAAGGUAACACUUUACCUGUGUCCCCGUGAAUAUCCCAAAGAUUAAACUAAGAUACUGAAUCUCAGAAUUGGGCCAAACUCAAAGAUCUUACACAAUUACUCAUUUGUUGCUGAAUUUCUCCUUGCAAAAAAAGAAAGAGAAAAAAAGAAAAAAAAAAAACCUAAUGAAAGAAAUUGAAGAAGACACAAAUAAAUGGAAAAUUUUAUAUUCAUGUAUUAGAAGAAUCGGUACUGUUAAAAUGUCCAUACGACCCAAAGUGAUCUGUAGAUUCAGUGCAAUCUCCAUCAAAUUCCAAUGGCAUUUUUCACAAAAACAGAAGACACAAUCCUAAAAUUUGUAUGGAACCACAGAAGACCCCCAAAAGCUAAAGCAUUCUUGAGCAAGAAGAGAAAAUGGCAGACAUCACAUUUCCUGUUUUUAAACUACACUACAAAGCUACAGUAAUCAAACCAGUAUGGUAAUGACAUAAAAAUAAACACAGAGAUCAAUGAAACUGAAUAGAGCACUCAGAAAUAAAUCCAUGCAUAUGAGUUCAACAAAUUUCCCAUAAAGGCACCAAGAAUACGCAAUGGGGAAAAGACAGUUACUUCAAUAAAUGUUGUUGGGAAAACUGGAUAUCCAUAUGAAAAGAAUGAAACUGGACCCCUAUCUUACACCAUACACAAAAAUCAACUCAGAAUGGAUUAAAAACAUAAACAUAAGACCUGAAACUGUAAAACUCCGAAAAGAGAACAUAGUGGAAUAGCUCUUUGACAUCAGUCUUGGCAAAGAUGGUUUGGAUUUGACACCAAAACCAAAGGCAACAAAGGUAAAAAUAAACAAGUGGGACUACAUUCAAUUAAAAAGCUUCUGCACAGCAAAGGAAACCAUCAACAAAAUGAAACAGCAAUCUAUGUGACAGGAGAAAAUAUCUGCAAAUCAUACAGCUGAUUAGGGAUUAAUAUCCCAACUAUAUGGAGAACUUCUACAACUUAAUAGCAAAAACUAAGAAACCAUCCAAUUACAAAAUGGGCCGAGGGCUGAAUAUCAUUUUUCCAAAGAAGACAUACAAAUGGCCAACAGGUACGUAAAAAGGUACUCAAUAUCACAAAGCAUCAGGGACAUGCAAGUCAAAGCCACAAUGAGACACCAUCGCAAACCUAUUAGAAUGGCUAUCAUCAAAAAGACAAGAGGUGACAAGUGUUGGCAAGGAUGUGGAGAAAAGGAAAUGCCUGAAUGCUUUCGGUGGGAACACAAAUUGGUGCAGCCACUAUGAAAAACAUUACGGAAGCUCCUUAAGAAAUUCGAAACAGAACUACCAUACAUUCCAGCAAUUCUACUUCACGGUAUUUAUUCAAAGGAAACAAAAUCAUUAUCUCAAAGAGACAUCUGAACUCCCAUAUUCAUUGCAGCAUUACUCACAAUACCCAAGAUAAGAAAACAACCUAAGUGGGGUGCCUGGGUGGCUCAGUCGGUUAAGCAUCUGACUCUAGGUCUUGACUCAGGUCAUGGUCUCAGGGUUUGUGGGUUCAAGCCCUGUGUUGUGCUCUGCACUGACAGUGUGGAGCCUACUUGGGAUUCUCUCUCUCCCUCUCUCUUCCCCUCCCCCACGCAUGCACACUCUCACUCUUUCUCUCUCAAAUAAAUAAACUUAAAAAAAACCUUAAGUGUCCAUUAAUGGAUGGAUGGAUAAAGAAAAGGUGGUAUAUACAUACAAUGGGAUAUUAUUCAGUCUAAAAAAAGAAGGAAAUCCAUUUGUGACAACAUGGAGGAACCUGGAAUGUGUUAUGCUAAAUGAGAUAAGCCAUACAUUAUGGUAUGGUAUAGUUUAUAAGCAGAAUCUAAAAGAAAACAGUUAAGCUCAUAGAAAGUAAGAGCAGAAUAGUAGUUGCCAGGAACUGCAGCGGGGAGGAAACGAGGAGAAGUUUAUAAAAGGGAACAAAUUGCAGUUAUAAGCUGAAUGAGUUCUGAGAACCUAAUGUAUGUCAUGGUGACUAUAGUUAAUAAUACUGUAUUGUAUACUUGAAAUUUACUAAGACCAUAGAUCUUAAACAUUCUCACCAAAAAUAAAAUUUAAAAAAGGUAACUAUGUGAGGUAACGAAUGCGUUGAUUGUAGGAAUCAUUUCACAAUACAUACAUAUAUCAAAUCAUCCAAGUUGUAGAGUUUAAACACCUUAUAAAUUUGCCAAAGAAACCUUAAUAAAGCUGGGGGUAGGGUGCCUGGGUGGCUCAGUCGGUUGAGCAUCUGACUUCGGCUCAGGUCAUGAUCUCGCAGUUGAUGGGUUCAAGCCCCACAUCAGGCUCUGUGCUGACAGCUCAGAGCCUGGAGUUUACUUCAAAUUCUGUGUCUUCCUCUCUCUCUGCCCCUCCCACACUCAUGCUCUCUCUCUAUCUCUCUCUCUCUCAGAAAUAAACAUUAAAAAAUAAAUAAAUAAUAGAUAAAUCUGGGGAAAACUUAACCAUUUCCACUUAAAUUACCAAUUGUAGAGAGGUAUGUUAAACUCUUCCAUAGAGGCUAUAGAUUUGCCAAUUUCUCAUAGCAAUUCUAUAAAUUUUUCUUUCAUGUUUAUUGGGGCUAUAUAAUUAGAUGCAUAAAGCUAUAGUACAUGACAGUGCGUCAACAAGGAACAGAUACUAACAAAACACAAUGUACAAAUAUAAAGCAUGUUUACUAUUACCCUCCCAUUCGUGUGCUCAUGGGAGACAUCAGUAAUCAAUUAUGGCACCCUAGUCUGCUCUGACAUGGCUCCAGAACGUUUUAGCGCACCAUUCUAUGCAAUCAUCUUAGUUGUCACUCAAACUAAUUCCUUUUGCCUUUCCCUGGCCUACCAAUUUAUCGCCCUAAAGGCUGGAAUAUUCUAAAAAGGUGAGAUUUCAGAUCAAUGGGAUGAAGAGAAUAUUCUUCAAUAAAUAGAGGUGGAACAACUUAUGCUUUAAGAAAUAAUGUCAUCUUUCUACUUUCCAUGUAAAGUAAGAAUAAUUCUGGACUUAUCAAAAACUUCAAUAUAAAAAUUAUGAGCUCCUGAACAGUCUAAAAGAGAACAUGGGUGAAAAUGAUCUUUUCUGGGGGUUCAGAGAGUUUUAUGACCACAAAACAGAGAGAGGAUAUAAGAAAAGAGUCUGAUAGGGGCGCCUGGGUGGCUCAGUCGGUUGAGCGUCCGACUUCAGCCAGGUCACGAUCUCGCGGUCCGUGAGUUCGAGCCCUGUGUCAGGCUCUGGGCUGAUGGCUCAGAGCCUGGAGCCUGCUUCCGAUUCUGUGUCUCCCUCUCUCUCUGCCCCUUCCCCGUUCAUGCUCUGUCUCUCUCUGUCUCAAAAAUAAAUAAACAUUAAAAAAAAAUUAAAAAAAAAAAAGAAAAGAGUUUGAUAGAUUAGGUUUCAUAAAAAUUAAAAUCUUUUUUUCAGUCAUAAAAAAUAAACUGAAAAAAAUAAGGGAAAGUUUAGCAGUGUACAUAAUAAGGUUCUUUUUUUAAUGUUUGUUUGUUUGUUUAGAGAACACGAGGAGGGAAGGAGCAGAGAGAGGGAGAGAGAGAAUCCUAAGCAGGCUUCGUGCUGUCAACGCUGAGCCUAAUACGGGGCUCAAACUCACAACCGUGAGAUCAUGACCUGCACCGGAAUCAAGAGGCGGAUGCUAAGCCCACUGAGCCACCCAGGCGCCCCAUAUAACAAAGUUCUUAAUGUAUAAAUAUCUUCUAAAUUAAAUAAGAAACAAACAUCCUAGAGGAAAAAUAAACCAAGAACAACGUAAUAAUUUACAAGAGACAAAGUAUUAAUGGCAAACACGUAUAUUGCAAAAGGAUACACUUCAUACUAACAACAAAAAAACACGAGACAUCUUUUUCGCCCAUCAAAUUACCAUAAUGGGUUCAAAAAUGAGAAUGCUGUGACAGAGUGUGCAUAGGCAAAAACAUCUGGAAGGAAAUUUGAAUAUACAUACCAAGGGCCUCAUUAAUAUUCACACACUUUGACUCAAUAAUUCCAUUUCUUUAAUGAUUGGAAGGCCAUAAUUACAGCAUCACAUGAAACAGAAGGGAUAAGAUGCUGACAUUUUAUUCCUAAUAGUUAGAAAUCAGAACUACCUACAACAGGAGAAUGGCUACACAGAUAAUAGUGUAUUUGUACAUUAAAAUAAAAUCUGUAAUAAUCAAUGAUGGUAGAAAUGUACACGAAACCAUGUGCAGUGUGCGUCAUAUUUUAUUUAACAUAUUUUCUGUACAUAAUAUGAUAGAAGUUAGGACAUAAAUGUACAAACAUGGUAAUAAUGUUUGUUUUCUAAAGUCUGGGCAUGUCUGUGAAUUGACUGUUAUUUUUAUUCUCAAUAUCUUAUGGUUGUUUUCUUCUUAUUUUUUACAGUGCAUGGCUAAAAUCAGCAAGAGAUUUUUAAAAAGAAAAUGUCGGAGGACAAAGAGUGCCUAAAAUCACAUCAGUUUAUUGCAAUCUUCAAAUAUUUCUUGAUCCAGAGACGUACAAUCAGCAACCAACUUAUUCGACUAUUGCCAAAGAAACAUCUCCAAAUAGUACUUUGCUCAUGAAGAUAGAAAACCACAGAAAAUGUGCAUGCGCUUGAGUAUGUGUUGUAAUAAUGCAUAAAGGCCUGUGUAAAUCACAGCUCAAAAUCUCUAGGACUUUCCCUAGUCAGCACAGUUCAGCCCGGCCCCUGCCCUGCACUAACCUAAAGCAACCCUAAGUCUGGUCCGCAGGCCACACACCCAGGCUUUGAGAAAGAGCCAGCAGCACUGCUGGGUUGCCUACCCUAAUCCUGUGAUUACCAGAACAUUACAAAAAUAAGACUUAUCUGGGGGUUUACAUUUUUAUUAAAUUAAGUCUCCCGAGAGCAUCAUGGCUAUGCAUAAAC